rnacentral:rRNA from 1 species
GGAAUUACUGGGCGUAAAGGGUCUGUAGGUGGUUUGUUAAGUCAGAUGUGAAAGCCCAGGGCUCAACCUUGGAACUGCAUUUGAUACUGGCAAACUAGAGUAUGGUAGAGGAAUGGGGAAUUUCUGGUGUAGCGGUGAAAUGCGUAGAGAUCAGAAGGAACACCAAUGGCGAAGGCAACAUUCUGGACCAAUACUGACACUGAGGGACGAAAGCGUGGGGAUCAAACAGGAUUAGAUACCCUGGUAGUCCACGCUGUAAACGAUGAGUACUAGCUGUUGGAUUCGGUGUAAAGGAUCUAGUGGCGUAGCUAACGCGUUAAGUACUCCGCCUGGGGACUACGGCCGCAAGGCUAAAACUCAAAGGAAUUGACGGGGACCCGCACAAGCGGUGGAGCAUGUGGUUUAAUUCGAUGCAACGCGAAGAACCUUACCUGGUCUUGACAUCCUGCGAACUUUCUAGAGAUAGAUUGGUGCCUUCGGGAACGCAGUGACAGGUGCUGCACGGCUGUCGUCAGCUCGUGUUGUGAAAUGUUGGGUUAAGUCCCGCAACGAGCGCAACCCCUAUUGAUAGUUACCAUCAUUAAGUUGGGUACUCUAUUGAGACUGCCGCUGACAAGGCGGAGGAAGGUGGGGACGACGUCAAGUCAUCAUGGCCCUUACGACCAGGGCUACACACGUGCUACAAUGGGUAUUACAGAGGGCAGCGAAGUAGCGAUAUGGAGCGAAACUCAGAAAGGUACUCUUAGUCCGGAUUGCAGUCUGCAACUCGACUGCAUGAAGUCGGAAUCGCUAGUAAUCGCAGGUCAGAAUACUGCGGUGAAUACGUUCCCGGGUCUUGUACACACCGCCCGUCACACCAUGGGAGUGGGUUGCUCCAGCAAGUAGAUAGCUUAACGAAUGG